rnacentral:rRNA from 1 species
UACGUAGGGUGCAAGCGUUAAUCGGAUUUACUGGGCGUAAAGCGUACGCAGGCGGCUUGGUAAGACAGAUGUGAAAUCCCCGGGCUUAACCUGGGAACUGCAUUUGUGACUGCAAGGCUCGAGUCUGUCAGAGGGGGGUGGAAUUCCACGUGUAGCAGUGAAAUGCGUAGAGAUGUGGAGGAACACCGAUGGCGAAGGCAGCCCCCUGGGAUGAGACUGACGCUCAUGCACGAAAGCGUGGGUAGCAAACAGG